GUUUCAGUUAAGAUGAAUACGCUCUAGAAAUGUGUUUUACAGUACUGUUUCUAGAAUCACUUAAAAAUUUUUAAGAGGGAAGACCACAUGUUAAGUGUUCUUGGUGAACUAAAUUUUUUUUAAAAAUUACACCAAGGAAAAGUUUUUCAGUAGCACAUCAUCAAUUAAAUCAAAUGUUCAAUAAUACGGAAACAGGAAUAGAAUGGAAAGGAACCACACUGGAUUCAGGUCAUAAAAAGUGAAUUUAAUGAGAAUCAUUUCAAGUAGGGACAGAAGUCCAAUUGUAGGAGAAAGGAAGAGGACAUGUUUUCUCACAACUGUUUGGAGAGUCAGAACUCCUGGGUUCCACUCAGUAACCAUCAAUACCUGUGCUUUGACCCUAAGCAAACCACUUCAGGCCUGAAUCACUUUGCAUCUUGCCCAGUCACUUAAAACUGAAUUUUAAAAAGGCUUUAGAAGCCAAAGGAGACAGCCCCCACAUUUUUCUCCUUCAAGACAUUGUUUCAGUGAAGCCAGGCCUGUAGCAGUUUUUGAGACAGAAAGCUUACACCUUCCCUUCAUGGCAACACAACCUUCACCAUGUGCUUUCCUAAAUGGAUGGAAAACCCCCCAAAAAAGCCCCUCCAAUCUGUGUUUCAUAAACUGUACUCCAAGAGAAGUA